AAAGUCUAAACGACUCUCGGCAACGGAUAUCUCGGCUCUCGCAUCGAUGAAGAACGUAGCGAAAUGCGAUACUUGGUGUGAAUUGCAGAAUCCCGUGAACCAUCGAGUCUUUGAACGCAAGUUGCGCCCGAAGCCUUGGCUGAGGGCACGUCUGCCUGGGU
rnacentral:rRNA from 2 species